AUACCAUUAAUGUAUGUAUGUAUGCAUGUAUAUGAUACAGCAUUUCCCUAUCUACAAUUGAUACUAUUGAAUUUUAAAUGUGAGCAUGUAAAUUUAUUGCUAUAGAAUGGACAUUUGUUAAACUGAAACUUUUAGUUAGGGAAGGAAAUGCCAUCAGAGGUUCUUUUGACUUUUGCAAGCUAACUCUCAACCUUCUCUUGCUAUGAGUAUAUAUUAUCGGUUUUCAAUAAUGACUAAGCUAUACAAUUAAAAGGUUUAUCCCGUUCCCUUUGAUUUUGGAUCGUACUUGUGAUUAGCAUUCAAUCUCUGCUCUCUGUUGAGAGUUCCAACAAAAUUUUGGCUAUACAUGAUUGUGGCUGGUGGUAAAAUGCAGGAGUUGGAAUACAUUUUCGAUACUCAUAUUCCUACAAGGAGAGUUUAAUAUGUCCAAUGUGACAUGAAGCUUGUGCAUUUUAUGUCCUCUGAUGUUCUUUUUCUUAAUCGUUCAUGCAGAUGAUUGGCCUUGUUAUUUGUAGAGAAUUGUAGACAUUUGUAAAUGGUCGUAUUUGUGUUCUCAUUCUCUUUUUGCUUACUUUUGCAUCCACCUGUCUUAUGAUGAUUUUUUCUCUAAUGAGUAAUGUCCAUACAUAAUAUAGAGAAUAAUAUGAAAAGGUUGCUAUAUUGUUCUUAUUCAUACUAUUUCUAUUUACACAUGCAUAUUUAUGUAGCUAAGUAUAACAGUAGAAUACAGCAAACUAGGCAAGUGGUAAAUUAAAGUUCCUAAUAUUGAGGGAUCAUGUUUGACCAUGAUGUUGCUCCAUUAGAGACGCCAAUCUUGGACCAGAGAAAUUGAAGACCCUGGCAAGAGCCUUUGUGAGAGCAUCAGAACACGCAGUUAGAACUUAGAACAAAAAUUGGUAGCAUGAAUGCUGUCAAAAUAAAUGGCUGGAUCUUUUGCAAGUGAAACGCUGAGUUGAUGUAUAGGAGGGACUGAGCCCACACUAACUCUGCUGUAGAUGAAGCCACAGCUCUAUAUUCUGCUUCAGUAGAUGAGUGGGCAAUUGUUCAGUACUUGCAAGAACUCCAUGAAACAUGAUUGCUUCCAAGCUAAAUGAUAUAUGCAGAUGUAGAAGUAAAACCAUGGCGACUCCCCGCCCAAUCGGCAUCAGAAAAUUCAUGGAGACGAAGAGAGCCAUUUUGCUUGAGGGAAAGGCAUUAGACAAAUUUUCCCUUAAGAUAGCAUAGGAGGUGCUCGAGGGCUGUCCAGUGAGUUUGCAUGGGAAGGUGUAUGAAUCGACAGAGUAUAUUCACUAAAAAUGCUAUUUCAGGCCGGAUGAAAGAUAAGAUGUAUGGAACCAAGGAAACUUCGAAAUUCAGUAGGAUGAGUGGUUCACUGGUUUGGCUUUAGGAAUAUGAGUAGCUAUUUUCUUACCAAUGUCAAUUUAAGUCCACAUCUGUCUUUUUAUUAUGCCAAGAAUUGGUUAUUGCUUUAAAAGGGAGAGUUAUAACUUAUAGUUCUGUAGCUACAUCCCCAAAUUCUAAUCUUUGGUAGGUGUUCAGUCAAGUCAUUAUUAAAUUGUUAUUUGGGAUGAGAACUGAAAUAAAUUGACUAGGUGAAUCUACUUCUUGUUGCUAAUAGAUCUGAACUAUUUGUACUUCA